CCUACGGGGGGCAGCAGUAGGGAAUAUUGGACAAUGGGCGCAAGCCUGAUCCAGCCAUGCCGCGUGAGUGAAGAAGGCCCUCGGGUUGUAAAGCUCUUUUGUCCGGAAAGAAAAGCAAUCGGUUAAUACCCGGUUGUUCUGACGGUACCGGAAGAAUAAGCACCGGCUAACUUCGUGCCAGCAGCCGCGGUAAUACGAAGGGUGCAAGCGUCGCUCGGAACUAGUGGGCGUAAUUCGUUCGGUGGGAUGUGAAAGCCCUGGGCUCAACCUGGGAAUGGCAUUGGAUACUGGCGGGCUAGAGUGCGGUAGAGGGUAGUGGAAUUCCCGGUGUAGCAGUGAAAUGCGUAGAGAUCGGGAGGAACAUCUGUGGCGAAGGCGACUGCCUGGACCAGCACUGACACUGAGGCACGAAAGCGUGGGGAGCAAACAGGAUUAGAUACCCCAGUAGUC
rnacentral:rRNA from 1 species